CCAGACCCUCCCACCUCCUGGACAGCAUCCAUUUUAGAUUCAUUGUGAAGCUGCAUUCUUAGUGAGCUGUCCAGGAGGUGGGACGGUCUGCUGCUGAUUGGCUGGAAUGUGUCUGCUGACUGAGGUACAGGGUCAAAGUUUACUCAAUGAUGACAAAUAGGGGGCGGACGGAACAGUGCAUAUGUUCGACGUCCGCGGCGAACCGUUCGGGACAUCACUAUUAAUAAGCAUUUGUUGGUAUCACUGUUGUAUAUUCAGGAAAUGAUUCAAGAUGGCUAAUCCAAACUAGGAAUUUCCAUAGGUGAUACUCUUAUCUCCCAACACUUCAAUGUUUAAGGAACAAAACCUUUUCAGAGUUAUUCUUUAAAGUAAGAGUUGCUAGAAGUUCAAAGUGAAUUUCAAAUAUAAAGCCAAAACGAACACCUAAUUGACUAGAACAAUUUCUAAAUCUGCCAUUUUGGCAUAAAUGCACGUUGAAUUUACUCUGAAUUCCUGGCAAUACUCACUUUACUGAAUAACUUUGUCUGAACUUAAAAUACCUGAUGCAAAACUGUUACUGCACCUACGAGGAAUCAAUACUAUGUUUAUAGAACGUUGUUUGAUGAUAGACGCUUUAACUACAAUUGUGCUUUUGUUCUUGCAUAACAUGGCUGUUGUGCUUCAUAUAACAUUUAUUCCUUUGUGCACUUUAUUUCUUAGUGGUUGGUUGCCAAAUUUCUAUUUUUUAUUUAUUUUUGUUUAUAAGAUUCUGUAACUGAAACGUAGUUGGUGUAUAUGUAAAAAAGAAAAAAUUGUUGCAACAAGCAGUUGAAAUGUAUUAAAAAUAUAUAUUUUUAGAGUGGUUUAUAAAACUCACCAUUUUACAUUUCAUUUUGACAAAGUUAAAUAUCCCCUUUACAAAAAAACAUUUAUAUUGUUUUAUAAUUUUAUAUACUCAUCAUAUGAAUGACACACAUAAUAAAUUAGUCUUUUUCUGCAAAAAGCAAACAUCUUUUUCCCAUUCUCUCCCUCUCAGCAGUUAUGAAGGACGGUAGACAGGAUUUAAAAAUACACAAUAUAAGCAUCUAUCUUAAAAAGAGCAGCCCACCUGCAUACAUAGAAAUAUUUGUAGUCUGGAGGAAUUAUGAGAACACGAGAACAGCAAAAUAACUGGAAAGACACUAUAAAAAAUAAAUAAAUAUAUUUAACUGGUUAGAACGUAUUUUUAUUACCAGCCAGUCUGCUAGGGCUGAGCUGUCCGCAUCUAUAUUUUAAUCACUGUUUUCUUAAUGAGAGAUCACCGUUUCAUGAUGUUAAUUCUGCUUUAUCGAUAUAUACAAAGCGGAGUGUCCCUGUCUCUGAUGUUUAUGUGAUAUUAAUUUGAGGGGUGAACCCAGGACACUUAUCUUUAAACAGAGCUGUAGUAGUUAUGUUUUAGAAUGUGUGCUUUUUGCUUUUCUAAUAAAGCACAAUAUGUUUUCUAUGCAUCUACUUUUUGUAUGAGAUAAUUUCUUCAAUCAAAAGUUGGCACAUUUGAAUAUUUCAUGGCAUACAUUUGGAGAAGUAAAAUGAUAUAUACAUAAAGACAUACUUGUUAUAGAAAUGUUCUUAUUGCAGUGCAUUUCUACUUUUACUAUUCUACAACCAUUCGCUAUUGGCACACAACUGAGAAUGCAAAACUGAUCAUCCAAAGCAAGCUACUGGACGGGGCAAUGAGUGUUAUGUUUCUAUUUUAUAAGUUUUUGUUUUGUUUUUCUCUUCUGUUGAACAUAUUAAACGCAAAAUGUGAUAUUAUGUAAUAUAAUAAUGUAUUUCUUAUUUUAUUGUUGGCUAAAUGCAUACUUUGCAUUCAUAGACUGUGUAUAUUUCGGAAUCUACUGAAUAUAUCUGUUCUUCCUUGUUAAGGCAAAUAAUUUAGCUGCCAUCUUUUGAUAAAAAUAAAUAAAAACACUUUAAAUACAAGCUGAGCCAUUAACUGCAAUAAGUAUUGUUUUGUUGAUAACAAGUUUAUUUAUUUUAUUUUUUUUGUAUUGUAC
rnacentral:lncRNA from 1 species